CAGACCUCUAAUCGGAAAAGACCACCC
rnacentral:rRNA from 1 species